AUAUGGGAGGCAGCAGUGGGGAAUUUUCCGCAAUGGGCGAAAGCCUGAAGGAGCAACGCCGGGUGAGGGACGAAGUCAUCAGGGUUGUAAACCUUUUUUUUUUGGGAAGAAGAAUUGACGGUACCAGAGGAAUAAGCCUCGGCUAACUCCGUGCCAGCAGCCGCGGUAAGACGGAGGGGGCAAGCGUUAUCCGGAAUUAUUGGGGGUAAAGGGUCCGCAGGCGGUUUUUUAAAUUUGUUGUCAAAGCCCCCAGGUCAAAUCUGGAUCGGCAAUUGAAACUGGGAGACUUGAGUGUGGUAGGGGUAGAGGGAAUUUCCGGUGUAGCGGUGAAAUGGGUAGAUAUCGGGAAGAACACCCGUGGGGAAGGCGCUCUCCUGGGCCACAACUGACGCUUAGGGACGAAAGGUAGGGGAGCGAAACCGGUUAGAUACCCCUGUAGUCCCAGCCGUAAACGAGGUUACUAGGUGUUGACGUUCGACCCGUGCAGUACCGCAGCUAACGCGUUAAGUUACCGCCU
rnacentral:rRNA from 1 species